AAUAAACGCUGGUGGCGUGUUUUAUACAUGCAAGUCGAGCGGAGAUUAGCUCGCGGUUAGAGGAGAUUUAUCUGUAGUCUCUAUGGAUGAUGAUUCUUUGACUCAGGCUAAUCUUAGCGGCGGACGGGUGAGUAACGCGUGGAUAAUCUACCCCUGAGUGGGGAAUAACUUUCCGAAAGGGAUGCUAAUACCGCAUAAUGUUAUUCCACCUCGGUAGGAUAACCAAAGUUAGACUCUUUGAGUCUUUCGCUCAGGGAUGAAUCCGCGUUCUAUUAGCUAGUUGGUGAGGUAACGGCCCACCAAGGCGACGAUGGGUAGCCGGCCCGAGAGGGUGUUCGGCCACACUGGGACUGAGACACGGCCCAGACUCCUACGGGAGGCAGCAGUAGGGAAUCUUCCGCAAUGGGCGAAAGCCUGACGGAGCAACGCCACGUGGACGAUGAAGGCCUUCGGGUCGUAAAGUCCUGUCAGAGGGGACGAUGGUUGAUCUUCGGAUUGACUGACGGUACCCCCAGAGGAAGCUCCGGCCCAACUACGUGCCAGCAGCCGCGGUAAUACGUAGGGAGCAAGCGUUAUUCGGAUUUACUGGGCGUAAAGAGUGCGUAGGCGGUUGGGUAAGUCAAGGGUGAAAUCUUUGCUCUCAAGGCAGAAACUGCCCUUGAUACUACCCGACUCGAGGACAGGAGAGGGAAGUGGAACUCUGGAAGUAGCGGUGAAAUGCGUAGAUAUCCAGAGGAACGCCAGUGGCGAAGGCGGCUUCCUGGUCUGUCCCUGACGCUGAGGCACGAAAGCUAGGGGAGCGAUCGGGAUUAGAGACCCCGGUAGUCCUAGCCGUAAACGAUGGGUACUAAGUGUGGGGGGAGCAUUACUCUCCGUGCUGAAGCUAACGCGUUAAGUACCCCGCCUGGGGAGUACGGUCGCAAGACUG
rnacentral:rRNA from 1 species